GGGCUGGUGGUGCAGUGGUAGCACCUCCCGCUAGAGCAGGGAAGGGCCCAGUUCAAUUCCUGGCCAAUCCG